rnacentral:lncRNA from 1 species
UCAACUUCUCAAAGUGCUGGGAUUACAGGCAUGAGCCACCGCACCUGGCCUCCUGUGCUCUUAUGUUGAAGUCCAGUCAUCACAGAGAGGUACACAAAGAAGGAUUACCACAGGAAAUCCAGAGAGGCUUUAGAAGACGAGCUUGCGUUGAGAUAGAAGCCGGAAGCCCACUUAGCCAACUGCCUCCAUGGGACUUGGCAUGAGGCAGGCUUAUGACAGUAAAUGCUACACUGCCCUCAGUGAAAAAGAGAAUUUGGCAUUCAUUCUUCUGAACCCGCCAUCCCUCAGCCUUGGCGCCUGGGAAUUCUGCGAAUCGUUGCCUGUGGCAGUGACACUGAUUUGUAUCUGGGUAUGAACUUAAAUGAAAACAUGAAUUGAACUCAUUACUUGAGGAAGGAAACACUGCCAAAUUUAACAGGAUGAAAUUCCAGCAGGGUGUAAGGUUUUAUGGGGCUACAGUGGAAUAUCUCAUAGAAAGGUUUCCAGUUCAUAAAACACUUUCAAAACAUGCUCGGCCCUUUUAAGUUGAAGGGACAUUAUCAUUUCUAUCUAUGGCAUUUCUCUGCAAAUUGAACUCAAAUAUCCUUUGGGCUGACUACACAGAGAACAGAAGAAAGAAGUGGAAGAAACUUGGACUGAAGAUUGCCUCCCUGAAAAGGUUUUCUUCAGGCAGAAUUAGGUGAGAACAAAUGACAUCAGAAAGUAGCAUGUCAGUAUACUGCUGCCAGCUCCAUAUGGUUCAGCUUGUUUUCACAGGUAUUUAAUUAAUUCCACAAACAUAUAUUGAGUAUCAGAUGUGGGAUCCUGUUCAACACAUUUGGGGUACAGUAGUCAAUUAGUCUACUCUCAUGGCACAUACAUGCUGGAAGGAGAGAAAAACAAUAAAUAAAUGAACAAAAGAUGCAGUAUCAGGUAGUGAUCAUUGCUAUCAAGAAAAAUAAAGCAAGAGAAAAUGGGAUAGAAGGUGUCAGGGGUGCGGGGUGACAUUUUACAUAGUGUGUUUGGCAAAGGCAAUUCUCAGGUGGUGACAUUUGAACAGAAGCUUGAAUGAAGUGACCUACAUGUUGAAUCCAGAAAGCUAAUUUUAUAUAUAUAUAUUUUUGGAAGGGGGCAGGAGAUAAUAAGCUAGUAAAAGGGUUGGGAAAUUAUUUUGAUUCAAGGAUGCCCAGUUUAAAAAACUGUAAGAGACAGCCCCUCUUUUUCUCCCAGUAUAGCGCUUUCGGUGGCCAUUUGAAUAGAGCUCUGCAUGUUUCCUUGGGAUUUUCUGGUGUUCAUGGCAUAACAACCAGCCAGCAGUCUUCUGGCUGGACCACGUUUUACUUGCUAGCAAGGAGCAGAAGCUGUGGAAAUUGGCAUGUAGAGAUGUAAAAGGAUUUUAUACUUUUCAGCCUGGGCAGAAAAUUAUAGAGAAAAGUAGGUGGGAGUCAGAAAAACAUGAAAUGAGAAAGAAAAGCAUAAUCUGAGUGAGUUCUCUCUCUUUUUUUUUUUGUUUUCUAUGUUUAUCUUUCCACAGCUUUUUCACUGGCUCUGUUAAAAAGCAAAUAUCACUGCAAACUUCAUUUCAUUUUCUCUCAACAGAUGAAAUAAAGCUUGUUAAAAUGUUUUUCCCUUCUGUCAGGUGCAAACUCCAUGUUAGCAGGUUUGAAAACUUUCACAUGUUCAGAUAGCAAUGGAGGUUUUAACUUGGCCAACAUCAACAAACAAACCAUGAGUCCC